AAUCUAAAUGCAGUGCUUAUAUUCUUGGGCUCUGGAGUUAAAUAGAAGGCCUGGGUUGAACUCCUACUCUGCCACUUGGGAGCUGCUUCAGGCAAACUGUUUAAUCUAAGUCUCAUUGCUCACCUCUGUGAAAUUGGGACAGGCAUUGACCUCAGAGAGCUGCCAUGAGAAUGAAUAAGAUACGCAUAUUAUGCUAUUAUCCUAGCCCUCUACCUUAAACAUCAUAUUUGGUCAUUUAAUAUUAGCUGUUAGUACCAUGGUAAUAGUUUAGGAUUUGGUAAGCAGAACUCCAUCACGCAAUGAGUAACUGUAACAUCAAUGCCAGUAGACCAAGGAUAAAUCAUAUUUAUCAACGUGGUUGAAUCUAGAAUAACACAGGUCUGAAAUGCAAUCAGCUUAUGAAGCAGAUAUGAAUUAUGCCUUCUAUUCUAGUGUUAUAAGUUGAAUCACUCUAUCUAAUAUCAUCAGAAUUUACCCUAAAAGAAAGGAAUAUUGUAAUUGUAAAUGAUAGCAGAGGAGAAUAAAGGCCACCAUCAUGGAAAUAAAUGUCAGUAGAAACCC
rnacentral:antisense_RNA from 1 species